rnacentral:rRNA from 1 species
UCCGGAGGGACCAAGCGUUGUCCGGAAUCAUUGGGCGUAAAGAGCUCGUAGGCGGUUUGGUAAGUCGGGUGUGAAAUCUCCACGCUCAACGUGGAGGGGCCACUCGAUACUGCCAUGACUCGAGUCCGGUAGGGGAGUGUGGAAUUCCCGGUGUAGCGGUGAAAUGCGCAGAGAUCGGGAGGAACACCCGUAGCGAAGGCGGCACUCUGGGCCGGUACUGACGCUGAGGAGCGAAAGCGUGGGGAGAGAACAGG